rnacentral:lncRNA from 1 species
AGUGACUCCAUUAUGGAGAAAGAUAUUGAUUUGUCAGGGUGGUGUCAGAAGCACUGCUCUGAUGGAAAUUGAUUUAUCUCUCUCUGAGCAGCUUGUGUUUUUAAUUCGUCUUUGCCUUCAACAAGGUGUGGGGUUAGGGUGAGUGUGAAGGGCGCCUCCCUUACCAGGACUCCAUUCACCACCACACACUGAAUAAGGCUUGGGGUACAGUUUCAGCCACAGCUUUCUGUUCUGUACUUGGGAGAUAAAAUAAUUCCUAGUUUGCCUCUGUUGGUGUUCAUAACAUUUGUGUUCAGCCCUUUCUGCCUUCAACACAGAUGUAUAUAGCUGAGUGUGAUGGAUGAGGACCAUAACUCCAAGGUCCAGGGGAGAAUGGCCCUCUCCUCUGCCCUCUUCUCUUCUCCCUUCUCCCUUCCCCUCAUGUUCUUUCUACUCUCCAAGAAACAAGUCAGCAUUGAAGCAACAAGUAAACCAGGGAGUUCACCAUUCACAUUCAGAUGAUUUGCCCAAUGAUCCUUUUAAUUGGAAGACCUCAUUGGCUUUUGAUUUGGCCCCUCAUCUACUGUGGCAGUAUUGUAUUUGCCUGCCUGGGCUGGACCUUCUUCUCUGCCACUUCCCACUUGUGUGUGCUGGGGACUUAUACAAUCUCGUAAGACUCAGCCUCUUUAUAAAUAUCAGGAAAAUAACGGUGACAGGGCAGAUCAUGAAAUAACGCAUGGAAGAUUUAGCAUAUCAUCUGUCCUCAUAAUAAUAAGAAUAUGUUAAAUCGAAC